rnacentral:rRNA from 1 species
AGCGAACGCUGGCGGCAGGCCUAACACAUGCAAGUCGAACGAACCUUUCGGGGUUAGUGGCGGACGGGUGAGUAACACGUGGGAACGUGCCUUUAGGUUCGGAAUAACUCAGGGAAACUUGUGCUUAUACCGAAUGUGCCCUUCGGGGGAAAGAUUUAUCGCCUUUAGAGCGGCCCGCGUCUGCUUAGCUAGUUGGUUGAGGUAAUGGCUCACCAAGGCGACGUUCAGUAGCUGGUCUGAGAGGAUGAUCAGCCACAUUGGGUCUGAGACACGGCCCAAACUCCUACGGGAUGCAGCAGUGGGGAAUCUUGCGCAAUGGGCGAAAGCCUGACGCAGCCAUGCCGCGUAAAUGAUGAAGGUCUUAGGAUUGUAAAAUUCUUUCACCGGGGACGAUAAUGACGGUACCCGGAGAAGAAGCCCCGGCUAACUUCGUG